rnacentral:lncRNA from 1 species
CAAUACCUUAAAUAAUGUUAGGAUUGGUGGUUCUAAGAAUAAUAAGAAGUUCUUGUAGGUACAAGAUCAUGAAUUUGAAAGUUGAAAGUGGAAACUUUCUUCUUUUGUCCCCUAAACAUGACUUCCACUUCUACCAAAAAUGUUGCACAAACAGGUCGAUGGUCAGAAAAUUUGAAUUCUUUACGCACGUAUGAUAGUUGUUGUAUUCCCCUUCCAUGCCAUAAGAUUCUAUCACACCUGCAAUUUUUAUCAUUUAGAUUCUUUUUCUUCUUUAUAAAAUAAUUACUUAAAUAAUCAAAACACAAACUAGAUCCUCUCAAAAAUAAAAAAUAAAAUAAAAACAUAAACUAGAUAUAAUCAGACCCGGAUUACAUGCAGUCAAGAGAGAUUUGGUGUCUGAUCAAGAUUGGAUCGGUCAAACCUCUCCUAACCGCAUAUAAUCCAAAUCUGAUAUAAUCUUUAAAUUUGAGCUGAACUUACUUAGAUUUUUGGAAUAGAUUAAAUGCACGAUUAAACUCUAUAAUAAUUUAUUGAAUAAGAGUUUGAUAACUAUUUGUCCAAACAUGAACUAAAUACACAAUUUGGUCCCUGAAGAUGUUACUUGUGUUACUUUAGUAGUCCAUUUUUCAUUUGUACAAAAUGGUCCGCCAAGGAUAUUGUACGAUAUUGUACCAUUUUUCAAGGAUUAAAUUUCAUGUUUAACCAAAGAAAUUAUUAUCUUGUCUUAAAUUUUUCAAACUGCGUUAUAAGAAUUGGACUGGACCAGACCGGCCUGACUAGUUUGUGGUCAGGUCUCCGUCUCUUAGAACCAGAUCAAAUCGAAUUGGCUCAACUGGUUUGUUUUAUUCCGUUUUGUUUAAGAAAAAUAUUUUUUAAUUAUUUAUAUUACUGUUGAACCAAUUGAACCAUGACC